GUUCUUUGUUUUAUUUCAGCUGAUACGGCGAGUGAGUUGGAGUGUUCGGGCGAGUACAGUGGAAAGAAGGCAGAGGAUAUUGUUGGCUGGGCGAAGACGGAGACAAGGGUUUGGCAGAAACAGAAACCGGGCUGAGUAUAUUGGGAUGUCUACUUAACUGUGAAAUGCUCCAUGGACAUGUGUAAAAAAUUCUGAGUGGUUGAAAACAGGAAGACUCACCGGAAGUAUCGCCGAAGGAGGCCUUUUCGACAGGGCACGUGGCAGCAGGAGAAGUAUCCAGGAGCUGGAAAGAAGAGGGAAAAGAGACCUCGAGUUAGUAACGGUGUGAGUACCCUAAACCAUCGUACAGCAGUAUAAUCAUCUAGAGUGAACUAUCUGUGAGCGUUUUGUGAGUUUGUGGCAUAGUAUGUGAGCGGCCCCACCGUGGAGGAGGAUUGUGGGUGAGCCGGGACCAGUGAGUGAGAGAGGAUGUUGGGGUGUCGUGGCGGCGACGUUUAAAUCUGAAUAUUCGUGGCAUCAGUGUCUUCACGAUUUCCAGGACGAGUCUUUGGUCAGACGGGGUUUUGACCUUAAAUUCACCAAGAGUGUGUGGAGUGCAGUGGGCCCGACGAAAUCCUGUGAAGGAAGUGAGUACCGAGGCGGGCGAAGAAAACAUCUCCAAUUAUAUGCCGUCGAUGACAUCCUGACCCUUCUUCCCCACGUGACGGUGGUGGGAAACAAUUUCAAAAAGAAGAGGGAAGCGUUCGACCCAUCCAGUGUAGUACACCCUGGGUGAAACAACUUACCUGUGUGUGACGCCAGCGGAGGCCGUGUUCGGCCCAACGCAACAGUAGUUUUCGAUCCGCCUCUCUAUCAGCAGUUGGUAGAAGCCUCAGAAAAGGAAUGUCUGACGUCUAUUCCCUUGAAGGUCUGUGAGUUACAUCACUUCCUGUUUCCCUGUAUAUUCACCGUAAGCGUAUGCCCAAAGCUAAAGCCAGCAUAUUGUGUUGUACACUCGCCUGUAUGCUCAAGUGAAGCCCCAGUUGUCUUUCCUACGGACUUACUUGUGCCCCCGAGUGAAGAGCCAGUGGCCCCUCUGUCCACUAUCCAUGUCCAGUCCUGUUACACUUACCUGUAUGCUCUUGUGCAGAUCUAGCGGGUCCCAUUGAAGCGUCUACCUGCAUGUCGACUCGUCACUCAGGAUACAGAGACCGCGGAAACCCCCUCCCGUACACUUACCAGUACGGUUUUAGUUGGAUCCCGGCAGCCCUUGUGCAGUUCCACCAGCAUCUGGACGACCGGGAGUACAACCCGCUGGGCCGCCUCGGAGUUCGUCAAAAGUAGCAGCAGGUAUCCAUUGUGCAUCCGAACUCUCAAUACUUACCACUUGUAUCUGUUACGUCCAGGAAAGGAGAGGGCCCUGGACAGUCGUCCUGCAAGCCAGAACAAAGGGGCACUUGUGAAUAAGCUGAUUGUCGUCACAUAGCCAGAAGGAAAGAGGAGUGAAGGACUCACCUGAGAUCUCCCGUGACGGAGUCUAAGAGACUCGAGACUGUUACUCUCCAAAAGGAGAGUUGGAUUUUAGCCUCCCUUCCCCAUACCC
ensembl:lncRNA